UCGGUCGGCCGGACGAUCGCCGCCGGAAACGGGGGAGGAAAGUCCGGGCUUCGCAGGGCGCGGUGGUGGGUAACGCCCACCCCCGGCAACGGUUCGCAUCCCGGUGCGGGCCGCCAACGGGCGGGACAGUGCAACAGAAAGUAAACCGCCGAGCAGUUGGCAGUUGGCAGUUGGCAGUUUGUAGAAAUGAUACCGGACAGCCGGGUACACUCUACCAACUGCCAACUGCCAACUGCCAACUGCUCCGGUAAGGGUGAAACGGUGCGGGGCGAAAGCCCUUAAUGUAAGAGCGCACCAGCGGCGGAGCGAUCCGUCGGCUCGGCAAACCCCACCGGAAGCAAGGCCAAGCAGAGGGCAGGACCGGCCCGGUCCGUUAUGACCCUCGGGUAGGCCGCUCGAUCCCGCGAGCAAUCGCGGGGCUAGAUAAAUGAUCGUCGCCACGGCAACGUGGAACAGGACCCGGCUUACAGGCCGAUCGAUCCA
rnacentral:RNase_P_RNA from 1 species